rnacentral:rRNA from 1 species
UUAGUGGCGGACGGGUGAGUAACGCGUGGAAAACCUGCCGUAUACUGGGGGAUAACACUUAGAAAUAGGUGCUAAUACCGCAUAAGCGCACAGCUUCGCAUGAAGCGGUGUGAAAAAACUCUGGUGGUAUACGAUGGUUCCGCGUCUGAUUAGCUAGUUGGUGGGGUAAUGGCCUACCAAGGCAACGAUCAGUAGCCGGCCUGAGAGGGUGAACGGCCACAUUGGGACUGAGACACGGCCCAAACUCCUACGGAAGGCAGCAG